CUACCAAGUAAUGUUUGUCUUUAAUGAAUUAAAUAUCUCUUUAAAUAUAUUUUUGUGAAUUUAUCGAGAAUAUUUACAGUAAAAAUAUGUGAACAAAGUAUUGGACAAUGAUAAAAUUUCUUGACAUACUUAAAUAUUUGGUCGCUAUUUACAGUUAAAAGCAUAACAAUUAAUUCGCUAACUGUACAUGCAUGUUUUAAAUAGUUCACUAUGAAGAAUGCACCUUGCGACGCACACGCGUAAAAACGCACAAGUUGUUACAAAUUUGUUCAGAAGCGGUCGACAAGUUGUCUUCGCACUGUUUGUUCCCCAGGGGCGGAUCCAGGGGGUGGCAAGCGUGGCUUGAGCCACGGUCAGAUUUUUGACUAAAUCGUCAUGUUCUCUAACUUGGUCUAUAUAAGGACGAAGCGAUCGGCGAUCGUUUAUAUUUAUACACAUAAACGCGUCCCAAAUCUUUUAAAUUUAAACAAAUACAUACUCGCAUCGUUAUAUCUUACUGUUAUUUGAUUUUCAACAAAAUCGCGAAAUAAAAACGUAAAUAUAUCAAAAGAUGUAAUUCCUGAACUGUAAAAGGUUCAAAACCUCAGGAAAACCCCUCAAAAACGCUUGUCGAGGAGGUAGGGAAAACCCCUCAUUUGCUGAAGUUGAAUGUUUGCUACGACGAUAACCGAGAACUACUCGAAGUUCAUCAUUUUUAGUUCGGAAAAUGUUCGUAAAAUGCGACUGCGAUUUUGAGCCACGGUCCGCGGUUCGGAUGUUACUAAAUAUAGUAACUUCUUGCCACUUUGAGCCACGGUGGAGCGUGUCAAGCCAAUCACAGACCGAGAUUUUAUCAUGUGAGCCACGGUGAGCCACGGUGGCCAUGUUUUUG